UGAUUUUUCUUCUCCCUUUUGUGUUUCAUUACCAUAAAAUGAACCGAUCACAGAGCUUUGUCAUUUCUUAAAAAUGUAAAUGCAGAAAUAAAAUCUUUCCAGGAUAUCAGAUGCAGGCUGCCCUCCACCAUUACAAAAUGUUAGGCUCAUUUUCAUAGAAGCCGUGGAAAUUGAAGGCAUUAGAUCGCAAAAUGAAAUGUCUUCAAAGGCUAUUCCUGCACGGAGGCCACUGACAAAUUUUAUGGCCUUGGAUCCUGAAAUAAACACCAUUCAGCGAAUGUUUGUACAGUCAGGCCAUUAAGGGCAAUGAUUUGUAUUUCCUCAAGAGAUCCCUUAAACUGCAGUGCCCGGUGUUCGCAGCAGCUUGGCAGGGGUUGUUAUUUUUUUUUUAAAUCCAGCAGUUCACUGGCCAAUAAAGCGCGCAUGGGGUACAAAGCUUCUCUAGCAAGUGUGAAAACAAAGAGGUGUGACUGUUGGGCUUUGCAGCAGCCCAGGGUCAUCUGUCACAUAUGUAAAGUGCUUUGGAUGCUAAUCUGUUUUGUUUAGCUGAAGUAACUUUUUUCAUGGAUGAAGGCGCUGCUGUAAUCUACUUUAUGCUGCUACUAAUGCCACCUCACAGGCCGAGUAAGGAAGUGUAAAGAAAAUGGGUUUAUUCUGAAACAUGACGCUAGUCCAACUUCAGCAGGCCAUUGAACUUUCUUGGCUUUGAGUCUUCUUGCUGCCACACAUCUGAGAAGACACAAGCUAUCACGUGACAAGAGAGGAAGAGCCGGUUAAAAGAACAUCCUUCAGGAGAGCCACUGAGAGACAAUCUGUAAAUCUGGACACAUGAAGAGCUUAAUCCAUUCUUGAGAACAGAGGUCUUCAUCCUUUAAAGGUUAAAGUUCAUGAGUGUGACAGAAGUCAGUGUGAAUGUGCAUGUAUACUUCAGUGAAGACCUAGCUUCUGACCUCUCAGUGCGCAGGGCUGUGGCCACAGCCUUCUAUAGUGUAUAAGGUAAAGGUCAGAAACACACAGAUUCAGCUCGGUGUAUGAAAGGAGAGACUGACCGAAGCACAGCCAUACAGCAAAUUAGAAUCCUCCAUCAACUCCAAUUGCUCAAAGCCUACCUGGAAAUCAGACAUCUUUACAGAGUUGUGAGUCUAUGAGAAGAGAUGCCAUGUGACCAGUCACUUCACAUUUCUCCUAACAGCACUUUCAGGACAUUAAUAGACUGAAUCCAUCCUUAAACCAUGAGGCAGCUUCUCAAGUUGCUUUGCUAGGCGUCCCAUAACAGCAAUGAAAGCUAACCAACACUAAGAGUGAGCUCCUAAGGAAAAAUGUUAAAGACCCUUUGGAAACGGACAAAGAGGAUUCACAAAUCGUUUGUGAAACAUUUGGAUGACAAAUGCUUGGUCUGAACAAAGAGCUCAUCUAAGUGCACUAUCAAGGUGAACUAUCAGAGGCAGAGGGCAAGAGCAUAUGAUGAUAACAUCCACCCAAGGACCAGGCUUUGAAGCCUCUGGUUUCAUUUCGGCAUAGCCUUUCCUUUUCAUGCCAGUUCAGCUCCAACAUGAAAGAGGACACAGUCCCUGAAGCCAAUUUCGGUCGCCUCGUUCAGUGCUCACUACUUCAUGCUUCUGGAAAGUGUGUGAUCUUUUUCAUCAUCUCUAAGACCUCCUAGAUGUGUGACCUUUUCACUGCUAUGAUCUCUCCAUAUUCCGCUGCAGAAAAUUGCUCUUGACCUGUUAGAGCUACUGCUUCUUCAGUUUCUUCCCUCUCUUUUCCUUAGGAACCUCACAUACCCAGGCUCUAAGUCAGUGCCAAUGAUAAAAUAUUCAUUUAUGUAUAUGUGUACUAGAGUGGUAUGAGAAUUGUGAAUAGGACAAGUUACAAACAUGCAGCAUAAUAAAAGGAUAAGAUUCCCUCUA